UUUCCGUUAGGUGAACCUGCGGAAGGAUCAUUAUUGUGAACCGGGGCGGCGCAAGCCGUCCCAAUCCAAACCCUCUGUGAACAACACUGCCGUCGGCGCAAGCCGGCGGCGACCUUUACACCUGUCGUACUACGUCCAGAAAGUAAACCAAAAGAGUACAACUCUCAACGAUGGAUCUCUUGGCUCUCGCAUCGAUGAAGAACGCAGCGAAUCGCGAUACGUAAUGUGAAUUGCAGAAUUCAGUGAAUCAUCGAAUCUUUGAACGCACCUUGCACCCUCUGGUAUUCCGGAGGGUAUGCCUGUCUGAGUGUCAUGUCAAUCAUCAUCCCACCGGGUCCUGCCCGGGGGGGUUGGAAUUGGGUGUUGCCCUUUGGGGCUCGCCUUAAAACGAAUCGGCGGCCGUUCUGGCCUGUUGUCUGGCGUAAUACGUUUCGCUGUGCACCAGGUCGGUGGCCCCCUUGAAACCGCCACUCACGUGGAAGCAUCGAUUGACCUCAGAUCAGGUAGGACUACCCGCUGAACUUAAGCAUAUCAAUAAGCGG
rnacentral:rRNA from 1 species